UACAGAGGGUGCAAGCGUUGUUCGGAAUCAUUGGGCGUAAAGGGCGUGUAGGCGGUUUGUUAAGUCAUGUGUGAAAUCCCUCGGCUCAACCGGGGAACGACGCAUGAAACUGGCAGCUAGAGUACCAAAGAGGGCGGUGGAAUUCCCGGUGUAGCGGUGAAAUGACGUAGAUAUCGGGAGGAACACCUGUGGCGAAGGCGGCCGCCUGGUUGGAUACUGACGCUGAGACGCGAAAGCGUGGGGAGCAAACAGGG
rnacentral:rRNA from 1 species